CAGAUUGGAGAGAAGCCGCUCAUCCAUCACCGUCUCUGCACCUCCCGAAAGUUUCUACGCUCUGCUAGCUCCUCUGCUUCUUCUGCUCCCUCUGCUCUGCCAGAUCAGCGUAGCGCUGUGCGCGGUUCGAAUCUGCAGUAGCAACACGAGCAUUCUCCACCACGCCCGCCGCAUGUUCUUCUUCUCCUUCUUCCUUUAUUUCUUUAUUUGUAUUGUGCUUUAUUUUUCUUCUUUUUUUCUGCUACGUUUUCACCUGUUUACAAGAGGAGAAGUGCCCCUCACCCAUAACAAAGGGGUUCUUCUGUCCUUCUGCUUUGCACCUUCACUUCUGGUUUUCUCUUCAUGGUUUUUUUUUUGUUCUAUUUUUUGCUCACUCUGCUCUUAGGUUUUUCUACUAAUUAAAUUGAUUAUUUUGAUUUAUCCAAGAAGAAGAGAAAGCUCAAUAGAGAAUCCUUUUAGUAUAUUCCAUUCAAUAUCAGAAUAUCUAAACCAAGUUGUAAAUUGCAGUGAGAAUAAUUUUUACAAAUAUUUCUAUAAAUUUGUCAUAAUCAAGUGAUAAUACCCUUUGAGUUUGGAAAUGGGAGCUUAGAAGAUAGGUCAUGAAUCUUGGUUGAUAUUGAGACUAUUAAGCCUACUCAUGUUUUUAAUGUUGAUGAUUUUACCAGUGCAUUUAAUUUGAAGUGGUUUGAGGCUAACAAAACAGAAUCUAUUGGUGUUGAUGUUGUUGGUGUGCUAACAUUGGCAAAUGCUUGCAAGGACCAUAGCCUCCCCAUGUGAAUUAUGCCUUUAGUGGCAAUUUUAAACAUACACCAAAUUCUAAUGUUUCUUUCUACUCUAAAACCCAAGUCAAGGCGAGUUCCAAAAAGUAUACAAUCUUGGUUAGAUGAUUAGAUGUCCGAUGUAUUUGGUGCAUCAUAACUUGAUUAAUUUUUAUAAGCAGUAUAUAUUGCGAGUGAAUUUGUCUUUGACCCUUUUAAAAUUUUGUGUUAGGUUGAAGAGCUUCUAAAGGAUUAUGAUUUAUGAAAAUGUAUGAACCCUCUAAAUUCAAUUUCCAAUAUCCUCUGAACUUAGCAAUUCACACACAACUUCAUCACUAAGAUGACAAGAUCAGAUAAAGUGUCUAAAGUAUCAUUAUAUUUUGCCUAUCAAAACAAAGAGGGUCACUAGAGUUGAGUUGAACAAGAGACUCCGGCACAAAGAACAACAGAAAAAAGAAGCUGAAGCUAAGAAGUUGGAGGAAUUGUCGAAAGAAAUUGACAGCAUACCUGAAAUUAUGAAGGAAAUCAAGCAAGAAGAUGAGGAAAAGCAGAAGAAACACUCAGGCGCGAAGAUGCUAAACAAGAGAGGUUAAAGGCACAGCCACCACGCUUAGGAAAGCACAAGUAAGUAGUCUUUUCUAUUUAUCUUAAUUUGCUAUCAAAAUCUUAGUUAUUCGAAUGAGAGAACAUGCUAAGGGUACUUCACUGCUUUUGACCUAACACAUAUUAUUCCAUACACAUAAUUCUUUGUGAGUGUAUAUUUAUCACAAUUUGUUAAUAAGUUUGAGCCUGCUCCCGUUCAAGUUCUCCUAAUCGACGAAAUAAAUGGAUCCAUCCAGAAGCUUAAGUAAGCUUGUAAAAAUUCUCUUGCUUACUUUUUGUUAUCCGUUUUCUGUUUUUUUUUUUAAAACAUCCAAGUAACUUUUCAAUUUCUAUGACAUAUAUGUAGGGUUGUUGUACCCUUAUAAAGGAUCGAUAUAAAAGUUUAGAGAAGAGAGGUUUGGUUGUUCCAACAUCCAAAACAUCCAAGAGGAAGUAGUUUACUGCUCUAACAUUAUAUGAAACAUGUCAUCAUCAAAUCAUUUUUGCAUAUAGUUCAUACAUCUAUAUUUUAACCGUUUGAUAUGACACAUUUAAAAUUUGUAUGACAUUGUGUUUGUGUUAUGGCUUUGGUAGGAAGUAGAGUCCUCUUGAUUGUUGGUUCCAUUACCAAGCAUUGACGCCAUGGAUGAAAGACCAAUACAAUUUUAUCUAAAUCAAGAUUUUGUUUUCUUGUGUUUGUUUCAUUUAUACUCCUAGCUAGUCACAGUUAAUGUGUUUCCAUAUCAAUCUGCAAUCCGAUAUUUUUACAUAUAUUUGUAACCAUAUUUAUAAUUUCUCAGAGCUUGAAUGAACUUUUUUUUUUGUUUUGCAACAGUGUUCAGUGAGCAUUUCACACUCCUUUGUGCAAUUUAGAAACAAAGAUCAUUAUCAGUAUGAAAUAUCUCCUUAGCCCUCCACUUUUUGCAUUCAAUCUCAGCUGCUUUAAUACGUAGGGAAGACCAUUAUCAAAAUGACAAAAUAUGCAUUUUACUUCUGGCAUUUUGUUUCAGAGAUAUCAUUGUCUUGAACUCUUGAUUUGUUAUUA